rnacentral:rRNA from 1 species
UACGUAGGCAGCAAACGUUGUUCGGAGUUACUGGGCGUAAAGAGUACGUAGCGGUUUGCCAAGUUUGGUGUGAAAUCUCCUGGCUUAACUGGGAGGGUGCGCCGAAUACUGGCGGGCUUGAGUAUUGGAGAGGAAAGCGGAAUUCCUGGUGUAGCGGUGAAAUGCGUAGAGAUCGGGAGGAACACCUGUGGCGAAGGCGGCCCCCUGGGCCGGCCCUGACACUGAGACGCGAAGGCGUGGGGAGCGAACGGG